CUCGUAGGUGGCUGAGUAAGUCGGAUGUUAAAUCCCCAGGCUCAACCUGGGACACCACCCGAUACUGCUCUGGCUAGAGUCCGGUAGGGGAGCGUGGAAUUCCUGGUGUAGCGGUGAAAUGCGCAGAUAUCAGGAGGAACACCAGCGGCGAAGGCGGCGCUCUGGGCCGGUACUGACACUGAGGAGCGAAAGCGUGGGUAGCAAACAGGAUUAGAUACCCUGGUAGUCCACGCCGUAAACGUUGGGCACUAGGUGUGGGGUCUAUUCAACGGACUCCGUGCCGUAGCUAACGCAUUAAGUGCCCCGCCUGGGGAGUACGGCCGCAAGGCUAAA
rnacentral:rRNA from 1 species